UACGUAGGGUGCAGGCGUUAAUCGGAAUUACUGGGCGUAAAGCGUGCGCAGGCGGUUUCUUAAGUCAGAUGUGAGAGCCCCGGGCUUAACCUGGGAACUGCGUUUGAAACUGGGAGACUUGAGUGUGGCAGAGGGGGGUGGAAUUCCACGUGUAGCAGUGAAAUGCGUAGAUAUGUGGAGGAACACCGAUGGCGAAGGCAGCCCCCUGGGUUAACACUGACGCUCAUGCACGAAAGCGUGGGAGCAAACAGG
rnacentral:rRNA from 1 species